AGGACGACGCUGGCGGCGUGCCUAACACAUGCAAGUCGAACGGUCCGGCACUCAACCGACCCUCAGUCUAACUGUAGGGGAAGUUGAGUGCCGGGUAGUGGCGGACGGGUGAGUAACGCGUGGGCAACCAACCCUGUACAGUGGGAUAACACCGGGAAACCGGUGCUAAUACCGCAUGACACCUAUAUGGUGCAUACCGUAUAGGUUAAAGGAUUUAACCGGUACAGGACGGGCCCGCGUCCCAUUAGCUAGUUGGUGAGGUAACGGCCCACCAAGGCGACGAUGGGUAGCCGACCUGAGAGGGUGACCGGCCACACUGGGACUGAGACACGGCCCAGACUCCUACGGGAGGCAGCAGUGGGGAAUAUUGCGCAAUGGGGGGAACCCUGACGCAGCGACGCCGCGUGAGCGACGAAGGCCUUCGGGUCGUAAAGCUCUGUUCUUGGGGACGAAGGAAAUGACGGUACCCAAGGAGAAAGCCCCGGCUAACUACGUG
rnacentral:rRNA from 1 species